rnacentral:rRNA from 1 species
AGCAGCCGCCACGGUAAUACGAAGGGUGCAAGCGUUAAUCGGAAUUACUGGGCGUAAAGCGUGCGUAGGCGGUUUGUUAAGUCUGUUGUGAAAUCCCCGGGCUCAACCUGGGAAUGGCAAUGGAUACUGGCAAGCUUGAGUGUGUCAGAGGAUGGUGGAAUUCCCGGUGUAGCGGUGAAAUGCGUAGAGAUCGGGAGGAACAUCAGUGGCGAAGGCGGCCAUCUGGGACAACACUGACGCUGAGGCACGAAAGCGUGGGGAGCAAACAGGAUUAGAUACCCGAGUAGUCCCUGUCUCUUAUAC